GCUCCAAUAGCGUAUAUUAAAAUUGUUGCAGUUAAAAAGCUCGUAGUUGAAGUUCUGCUAAAAGUAACCGGUCUGCUUUUAAUAAAAGUGGUAUCUUGGUAUGUAUUUAGCAAUGAUGUCCUUUGAAGUGUUUUUUACUUUAUUGUAAUAAAGCAUAUUCAGGACUUUUACUUUGAGAAAAUUAGAGUGUUUCUAGCAGGCCGACGCUUUGAAUACUGCAGCAUGGAAUAAUAAGAUAGGAUUUUAGUUCUACAUUGUUGGUUUUAAGAGCUAAAUUAAUGAUUGA
rnacentral:rRNA from 1 species